GUAGGUGAACCUGCGGAAGGAUCAUUAACG
rnacentral:ncRNA from 5 species